rnacentral:rRNA from 1 species
UACGUAGGGUGCGAGCGUUAAUCGGAAUUACUGGGCGUAAAGCGUGCGCAGGCGGCUGACUAAGCUUGAUGUGAAAUCCCCGGGCUCAACCCGGGAACUGCGUCCGAUACUGGCAGGCUUGAAUCCGGGAGAGGGAUGCGGAAUUCCAGGUGUAGCGGUGAAAUGCGUAGGAUGAUCUGGAGGAACACCGGUGGCGGAAGGCGGCAUCCGUGGGACCGGCAU